UCCUGUACAUACUAAUAAACCCCAACAAGUUCAGGUUACUUCACCCAAACGAAUGCUCAAGCCUCCCCCACCGUACACGAAGGUGGUCCGCACGACGUCACUAAGAGAGUAUCUCAACCACCCCAGCCGUGUGAUUCCUCGAGAAGUGGUAUCAGGGGAGCUUAAAACCUGGCACCAGAAAAACAAUAUAGCCAUAUCCAAACCCCGCUCACUUGAACGGCAAGGAUCGACUAAACUUAAGCGCCCAGAGCCGCCACCCUACCACCAUAUUCCCUCUAAUAAACAGGUUUCUCAGAAAGUGAUUCUGCAAAGGGCUUCCGAUGGAACGCCACUGCAGUGGUACGAAGAGGAAGACUCCGAGAUUGUGAGUCAGGUGUAACCAGGUAGAAGAAACCUAGAGGAAAUUAAACAGAGAAAAAGUGAACUCUAAUUGUACACCAUCUUUAUUUUUAUUUAUUGAGCCAAUGGACUCACUGAUGUAGUCUGAUUAUGUUAAUUCUCACCAAGACUUUUUGACCAAGUUGGAGCUGAGUCAGUGAAGUAUAUGCCUAAAUUCCAUAUAUGCCUACAUUUGUGAUUUAAAUUUCAAGUCUAAGACUUCCUUGUAAGGCAUCGUGCCUGAUAUUUAUGAUGAAUGUAUCAUAAAAUUGUGAUUUUAUUGUUGUCAGGAAAGUGUGGCCCACUUUUUGCAUAUGAACGCCCUCAAGGAAAUGACAUAAUUUAGUAUAUAUUUGUGUCUGGUACACGAUCUUUCAUAAUUAAAGUAUUAUGCAAUGUCUUAGUUUCCCCAUGAUUUAAUUUAAUUUAACACAUUAUGAAUUAAUAUAUUAUUUUUCUAUUUUAUUUUUUAUUUGUGAAUUAAUAUGGCCCCUUUCCUAACAUUUUUUAAAUUAGUGAAAUGUUUCAAGAAGUGUUGCUCUGCUACUGUAAUAUGCAUUGUAAGAAUAAUCCAUCUGUCAGUUUAAAUAAUACCAAAUGCAGAUGUUUUACUUCCUGUUUGUACACUACUAAUUA
rnacentral:lncRNA from 1 species